rnacentral:SRP_RNA from 1 species
CUUCGGGCCCUGUGCAAUGAAAACUUGCAAACCCCGCCAGGUCCGGAAGGAAGCAACGGUAGCAGGCGCUUUCGUGUGCCACAGACCAUCCCGAAGUCU